CGCAAGUGUAUUCCUAUACUGUUGCGUUUAAAUAGCUCGUAGUUGGAUCUGCGUGUUUAGCGCGCGGUGCUGCUUUCUUGCAGCUACUGUGACGCGACACUGUACGCUGACUGCAUACUUCGUAAGUACGUAGUCAGCAAGUUUACUUUGAACAAAUCAGAGUGCUCAAAACGGGCGUUUCGCUCGAAUGUUCUUGCAUGGAAUAAUGGAAUAGGACCUUGCGUUCUAUUUUGUUGGUUUUCGGGACGCGGGUAAUGAUUAAGAGGGACAGACGGGGGCAUUUGUACUGCGACGUGAGAGGUGAAAUUCUUGGAUCGUCGCAAGACAGACUACUGCGAAAGCAUUUGCCAAGAAUGUUUUCAUUAA
rnacentral:rRNA from 1 species